rnacentral:rRNA from 1 species
AAUGAUUAUAUUAAAUUGCUGUGGUAUUAUGACUAUACGAAGGUAUUGAAAUAAGACUUUAAUUGAGUGCUAAGAGAAUGGUUUAACAAAAAUAGGCUUUUUUUUUAUUUAAAAUUGAAGUUAAUUUAAAAACGAAAAAGUUUUUAUGAAAUUUUAGGACAAGAAGACCCUAUGAAUUUUUUUAAAAAGCUUUUUUUUAGGCUUUUUUAAAAAAAUUUUAGAUAAGUUUUUAAUUAAUUGGGGCGAUUUUUAAAUUUUUAGAAACUUUAAAGAUAUGAUAUUGGAUCCAAUAUUAUUGAUAUAUUAAAUAAAAUACUCUAGGGAUAACAGCGUUAUUACUUUGGAUAGUUCAUAUAGAUAAAGUAGAUUGCGACCUCGAUGUUGGAUUAGGAUACCUUUAUUAGUGAAGAAGCUAUAAAAGGAGGUUUGCUCAACCUUUAAAUUCCUACA